AGCAAACAGGAUUAGAUACCCUGGUCGUCCACGCCGUAAACGAUGUCGACUUGGAGGUUGUGCCCUUGAGGCGUGGCUUCCGGAGCUAACGCGUUAAGUCGACCGCCUGGGGAGUACGGCCGCAAGGUUAAAACUCAAAUGAAUUGACGGGGGCCCGCACAAGCGGUGGAGCAUGUGGUUUAAUUCGAUGCAACGCGAAGAACCUUACCUACUCUUGACAUCCAGAGAACUUUCCAGAGAUGGAUUGGUGCCUUCGGGAACUCUGAGACAGGUGCUGCAUGGCUGUCGUCAGCUCGUGUUGUGAAAUGUUGGGUUAAGUCCCGCAACGAGCGCAACCCUUAUCCUUUGUUGCCAGCGGUCCGGCCGGGAACUCAAAGGAGACUGCCAGUGAUAAACUGGAGGAAGGUGGGGAUGACGUCAAGUCAUCAUGGCCCUUACGAGUAGGGCUACACACGUGCUACAAUGGCGCAUACAAAGAGAAGCGACCUCGCGAGAGCAAGCGGACCUCAUAAAGUGCGUCGUAGUCCGGAUUGGAGUCUGCAACUCGACUCCAUGAAGUCGGAAUCGCUAGUAAUCGUGGAUCAGAAUGCCACGGUGAAUACGUUCCCGGGCCUUGUACACACCGCCCGUCACACCAUGGGAGUGGGUUGCAAAAGAAGUAGGUAGCUUAACCUUCGGGAGGGCGCUUACCACUUUGUGAUUCAUGACUGGGGUGAAGUCGUAACAAGGUAACCGUAGGGGAACCUGCGGUUGGAUCACCUCCUUACCUUAAAGAA
rnacentral:rRNA from 1 species